rnacentral:rRNA from 1 species
AUUGAACGCUGGCGGCAGGCCUAACACAUGCAAGUCGAGCGGAUGAAGGGAGUUCGCUUCUGGAUUCAGCGGCGGAUGGGUGAGUAAUGCCUAGGAAUCGGCUUGGCAGCGGGGGUUAACGUCCUGAAACGGGCGCUAAUACCGCAUACGUCCUGAGGGAGAAAGUGGGGGAUCUUCGGACUUCACGCGAUCAGAUGAGCCUAGGUCGGAUUAGCUCGUUGGUGGGGUAAAGGCCUACCAAGGCGACGGUCCGUAACUGGUCUGAGAGGAUGAUCAGUCACACUAGAACUGAGACACGGUCCAGACUACUACGGGAGGAAGCAGUGGGGAAUAUUGGACAAUGGGCGGAAGCCUGAUCCAGCCAUGCCGCGUGUUUGAAGAAGGUCUUCGGAUUGUAGAGCACUUUAAGUUGGGGGGAAGGGCAGUAAGUUAAUACCUUGCUGUUUUGACGUUACCAGCAGAAUAAGCACCGGCUAACUACGUG